rnacentral:rRNA from 1 species
UACAGAGGGUGCAAGCGUUAAUCGGAAUUACUGGGCGUAAAGCGUGCGUAGUCGGUUAUUUAAGUCGGGUGUGAAAGCCCCGGGCUCAACCUGGGAAUUGCAUUCGAUACUGGAUAGCUAGAGUUCGGCAGAGGGAAGCGGAAUUUCCGGUGUAGCGGUGAAAUGCGUAGAUAUCGGAAGGAACAUCAGUGGCGAAAGCGGCUUCCUGGACCAGAACUGACGAUCAGGCACGAAAGCGUGGGGAG